ensembl:snRNA LOC120093305 U6 spliceosomal RNA
UCGCUUCAGCAGCACAUGUACUAACAUUAGAACGAUAGAGAGGAGAUUAACGUGGCCCCUGUGCAAGGAUGACACGCAAAUCCGUGUGGCUUCCAUAUUUGUA